GGGGCGGGCCGAGCGACGCAGCCGGGACGGUAGCUGCGGCGCGGACCGGAGGAGCCAUCUUGUCUCGUCGCCGGGGAGUCAGGCCCCUAACUCGAAGAAGCCCUGGCGCGCCCUCCCCCCCUCCCCGGUCUGGUAGGGCGAAGGAGCGGGCGCGCGGUCGAUCGAGCGAUCGGUUGGCGGCUCUUUCUCCUGCUCUGGCAUCCAGCUCUUGGGGCGCAGGCCCGGCCGCCGCGGCGCGCGCCCGGUGGCCGUUGGCGCUCGCGCCGCGUCUUUCUUCUUGUACGCAGAACUCGGGCGGCGGCCUAUGCGUUUGCGAUUCGACGAGGAGUCGUCCGGGUGGUCGGCGGCGGCGGGCAACUGCUCCGCCCCGCUCCCGGGGAGGCGGCGGCAGCGGCGGGAUUUGGCGCGGCCGGGGAGGCGGGGGUGGCCGGGGCCGGCCUGGAGGCCUGGCGCCACCCUUCGGGGCCUGCAAGGACCCAGUUGGGGGGGCAAGAGGGCGCCGGGGGAUGGUUGGUGGUGGGCUUUCUACUUUGCCUUUUCCUCCUUAUGCCCCCUUAGUGAGGGGCGGGAGCUCCCGCGGCAGCUCCGGGGUGGGGAGACAAGCCCCGGAGUCGGAAGAGCUGGGUUUGCUUCCGGGCCUAGCCACCAGCUGGCCGAGUGACCUUAGGCAAAUCACUCUGUAAUUUGUCGGCGCCUCAGUUUCCUCCUUUGCCUAUCAAUGUUUGUGGGGUUGAAAGCGCUUUGUAAAGUAUAAAGCGUUGUUGUACGUAAGGGGUGAUUAUUGUUUGUAAUGGGUUUUUUUUGAGUUGUAAGAAAAGUUAGCAAUUGCCCAGUUCUUGGAUUUUGGACCUGGGAACCUUGGAUUGAAGUUGGAGAUCCCCCAAACUCCCCGAAAUUGUAUGCAGAAAUAGUGGGAGUGUGCAUUUUUGGGGAAUGAGGAUCCAUCGCCAGCAAGUUAUCAGAGGGGGCUGUGACCCAGAAGAGUUAAGAACUACAAUUGUUUUAUGCCACAGGGAGGAAACUGAGGCCUAGUUGUCAUUUGGGACCCUUCACAACCGAUUUGAAGCCCCUGUUUGAAUCCCUGGGAUAUGUGAGCUGUUUCUAUGCAUAAUGGAUAUUUGGGGUAACAGCACUCCGCUGCUUGGCUUCUAUUCUGAGUCCUUUCCUUUUACCAUGGGGUGCCUGAAAGGUGGCUGACACGUUGGUAUGGUUAAAUGGCACCCAACGUAAAGCAGCUAAAACUCGAAAUGGGUGUGUUCUCUAGUCCCUGCAAUUCUUAGUGUUUUGCUGCUUAUACUGGUACCUGACUCCCGUUCUCUUUCAUUGACCGUUUUCCACAACCAUGGUUGCCAUCCAUUACUUGCUUCUAUUUUAUAUCCUUAGUCUGUGCGGUUGGUAGUGAGCAGGCUUAUUUUUAAAUGGUGCUGCCGAGUCCAGCUAAUUAAUGGUGCCGGUGGAUUUUUAGCAAGCUGGCUCACUGGAACAGACUAAGCCAGGCAUGGGAUUCCUGAAGAUGUUUGGGGGUUUGUCUUUAUUAAUUGAAGGUUAACAUUCUCUGAAGAGUUUUGUUAAUGACUUCUGCUGAACUUAAAAAUCAGUAGAUUUGGAAGUGUUUCGAUGCUUAACUUUUUCCUGGCCUGCUUUGUAUUCUGUUUGCUUGCAAGUGUGUUACUAAGAUGGCCAAAAUGCCAGUUACUAUUUCUUUGUUAAUUGUCAGCUGCUUCUAUCAAAUUCCAGGCCAUUGUGCAGCAAACACUAUAGAAAUGUUUGAACAGUUGAAUUUCAAACAUUUUCAUUUUGUGGAGUGGUGCUUACCAGUGGUAAAGCUCUAAGCAAGUGAACAUAAACACAUUUAAGUGUAUUUUGUCUGGUUAGGUGUUUACCUGUUUUGCUAUUUCAUACAAAUGUCUGAGAAGAUCAAUUGACUAUUCCUUUCACGUAAAGGGCAGAGACAAAUGAUCUCACUUCCAGAGAAAUGACUGUUUCGGAGAAAAAUGUGUUGGUCUUUUAGCUCUUUUGUUAUUAUUUGGAUGUACCUCAAAAGAAUCUUAAGACUGUGGUGAUCUUAUGCUUUCCUCGGGAGAAAGGAGGAGAAAAAACAACUGGAACUCGAAGCUUGAAAUUCUGUGACAAAACAUGAAAUGUCCAGGAUAGGAGGCCGAAAAGGUUUCACUACAGUGUUCUGCACUGGCUGAAGCAGAUUCUUUUCUGUGUAGCCACAGCAUGGACUCCAGAUUUCCAGAUUUUCAACACCUGGGACCUGAAGAGCGUGUCAGGAUGUGACAGGAACUCUGGAGCGGAAUAUUUUUGUUUUUGAAUUUGGGGGCUGUUGACCUUGCUUUGAGAAGAGACAGCAACUGAGCAAGCACUGCCACCAGCACCAUUACUGGGAAUUUGAAGACCUGAGUUUCUGCCAGACCUUCAGUGCAAACUCUAGCAACACUCCAUUGAAAGUGAACUACGUCCUGUGCCUCCUGAUUGCUGAGUGUUCGCCUGGACCUUCUGGCCACCUUCCUUGUACAAUUACAUCAGCCUACAGAUCUGGUACCUGGAUUUUUGCCCUUGGUGAUUCCUUCACUUUACUGCUAAAGAAGACACCAUUGCAGUGGACCACUGUGAUCCAAGAGGCAUUCAACCAUCAUGAUGUGGCCUUCACUUCCACUCCUGUCCUGUUCCACCCAGAUUCAGCACAGCCCUUUACAGUGAAGUCAAACUGUUUAAGCCAAGUAGCUGAAGCUAUUUUAUCACAACGAAGGCCCAAUUUGUUCCUUGAGUGUGCAUUAGUUUCUUCAGUUAAAGCCUUCAGAGACACAUAAUAAAUUUGGACCAGAGGAUUUUUAGUUAUCAACACUGAAGAAUGACAACAUCUUUUCAAGAAUAGCAUUGGACCAUACCCCACAAUCUCAAAUGAUUGAAAUUCAUGAAGUGUCUAGGAUCCUAUCCAGGUCACUGGACCUUAUUCUUUUUCCACUUCAAGCCUAUAGUAGCCUACUGAAUAGAAAGCAGAUAUUCUGACCAGCAGAUAUUGGGAUUAAAACAAAGGCACAGUGAACUCACAGCAUCUUUGGGAUUACUCAGGAACCAGAACUUUUCACACAAAUAUAAGAAAUUCUACCAAGGAAUCCCUUUAUCUAACAGCAUCUCACAAAGCUCCAGUCAGAUUCCAGAAAAGGCCUCUUGAUACAUCCAGGUAGAACCUAUAAUGGUAAUCCCUUAUGUUUAUAUGGCACUUUAUAGUUUCAAAGCACUUUUACAUGCAUUAAUCCCAAUUAUCAAAAUAACACAGUAAAUUAUAAUCAUUUUUGCAAAUGAGGAAAUGGAAAUUUAAAAGGUUAUACAAGGUGACCCAGCUUCAGAGUGGUAGAGGUCAGGCCUUCUGACUCCCAGUCCAGUUCUCUCCACAGAAUGAACUUAGCCUCUACUUUACCUGCAGUGUUAAGAUGACUGGAGAUUGGUAACCCCAGAAAAGUUUCCAACUUCCUGAUCUGGUACCCUCAGUAGUCAGGAUGUCAUAAGUGUAAUCUUGUGAUGGCCGUACCCCUAAGGUUUAAGAGCAGACUGUCUCCAUAGUGGUAGAUUAUUCCAGUCAACAAGGCCAUGUUCAUCUGACAAUAAGACUACGUAAUAUGAAACACAAAGCUACUUUAGAUCUGUUGUUCACAUGGUAUUCCCAAAUGGCCUAAUUGGAGAUCCCUGUUCAUGUUUUCUCCUUUUUUUUUUUUCCCCCUAAGUCUUAUUAAUUAAUAACUCCUAGACACCAAGAUCUUACCUAUGGUCCUCUACCACCAAACAUUUACUUAACAUAAGUCCUGCAUUUUUUUAGAGCAGUGCUAUUCAUAUAUGUGUAUGUAUAUUUGAUGCAUACUCAUAUAUGAAGAGCUUUGGUAGUCCUGUAAGAUGGUAAAAUAUGUGUUCCUCCCCUGAUUCAGUGUUGUGUAUUAAAAGAUCUCAGAAGGCUUGGAACAAAGAGCCUCAUUGAGCUGUUCAGCCCAGUGUGUCCUAAAUUUAAUCAAACACCGAAUGUUACUGUUGCAGCAUUCCUUUAAAUGGAAUGGGGAAACUGCUUUAAAGCAGUAUAGCCAGUGCUUCCUGAUUGCCCUGGAGACCCAGGAGUAAACAGCCUCUUUGAAGCCCCUCCCCCCCAUUUCUUACUUUGUCAAUAACUGCUUGAAUUGGUAUGUCGUCAUCAUCUGAAAGACCCACACCUUGACCAUUACCUCUUUCUUUUCUGCUAAAGGAACCGCUAGAAGAUUUGUGGGGAUAUAUGGGGAGGGAAUGGGGAAAAGGUAAUGUUGCCCCCCCCCAAUUGGAUGAGUUCCAUGACAUUUAGCAAUAUACUUCUCUGUCCUUAGAGUUGUGCUGUAAAUCUAGCUCAAAGGUAUUGAAUCUCAGGUGGGUGAGGAGAUUGGGAAGGGAAGGGAGGAGGAGAAGGAUGGAGAAAGGGGGAAGGAGGGAUGAGAAGGAAAUAAUUUUCUUAGAAUUUGAGUUCUAGCCCAUUGAGAUCUUACCAGUGCUUGAAAAGAAGUCAUUUAGCCAUGGACUUGGGAUAAUAUUUCCAAAGAAAUGGAAUGCAUUUUGCAGAUGUAUGCUGACUGCAAAAAUCCAGUGCUAUUGUCACUUAAAACCAAUAGCCUGUUCUCUGAGAUAUUCACAAACGCAAUUUGGGGCCAUCAGAAUGUGUAGCAAACUUGAAUGUUAACUUCAUUCUUUAAUGUGGCCCAUAUUAGGGAAAGAAUGACUAGGAAAACACCUUCUUGGCUUACCACAGGCUUUGCUCACAGUUUCUGGUUUCUGUGACCUAUUUUUUGUAUUUCAGCAUUUUGUGAACAACUUAUUCUUAGAUCAUUGGUUUUCCAAAGGCUUUGUGACCAUGAAGCCCUUUGGAUGAAAACUAUGUGGAAGCCCAGAGUAAAAGAGGAGCUGCUGUAGAUGAAGCAGGAGUGGGGGGCCUGAAAGCUGCCACAAGCAUCUUCCUUUACCACCAUGGUGACCCCUAAGGAGACUUCUUUACAACACCUAGAAUUCUUCAGAACACAGUUUGAAAACCACUGCCCUAGACAACAUGUGCAACCUAACUGGCAUUCUGAUGAUCUGUACCUCUGCCCAGCCCAGUCCAUGUUCAGUUGAUGCUGCACAUUCUUAGGAAUACUUAACUGUGGGCAAAGUCAGAAAAGUGCAAGAAGAUGGGCAUAUCUUGGCCCCCCCAGAGUAGUCAUGUGGGCUGAAAGUGGUCUCAAGUGAACCUAGACUAGCAGCCCUGUACCCCCAGAUGGAUUUCAAGUCAGUGGUACCUGGGAUUCUAUAUAGUCAGCAAUUCAUAUGUAUUCUACACUGACCCACCCCCUUACCCAGCUUCCUUAACAAACACCAGAUGCUCUAGUGGUACUUGAAAUACAUAACUUUGAAGUCUUGAUCCUCCUUGGAUACCUGAAUCGCCAAGUAUUGAAGCUGGUACUAAAGUUGAUGAUGCCUCAUUGAGGCCAUAUUAAACCAACUUGUACAUUGGACCUCCCAUCAUCAGCCAUGGUACUCUACUUCGUGUGCAAGGGAUAAACAUUAACUAUGAAAGUAGAACUGAAAUUCUGGCAACAUUACCUAAAAGGGUACCUGAUUCAUCUUAUUCUCAAAACUACGAGUCACUCUGACUCAACCAGUGGCAGUUACACUGCUCCUUGGUUAUUCAGUUUAACUGCUAUUGCCAGGAUAAAUGAGCUAGUAACCUUUAAAAAAAUUUCCUCCAUCAUUGGCAGAUCUGCUCCAAAAUUAUCAAUACUCUGCUGUAACUCCAUGUAACACCUGAUCCAGAAGAGACUAUUUUUGAACAUCCUCUCUCAUGUAUGUGAUUUUUAAAUGUGAUCUUUUGGAAAAUUUUCUUCUAACCAGUGAGAGGUGUUCUUUUAUGGAUCUUUUGAUGUCUGGUACCAUCAACUACAGGUGUUAGGGAUAUUUGGAGGUAGGCCUUUUGACCAGGCCAUGGUAGCUUGCUUGCUGGGCAUCUCAAGUUGCGUAUCGUCUACGUUUUUGCUGGAAAUGUAGACUGACUUGACAAUCUACAAGCCUGCAGCUAAGAUUUUAUCAGUAUACUCAAGAGCUUCCUGCAGCUUCUUCCUAAUGUUACAAGACCACAGAGUCUUGUCUUUGUGGAUGUUUUCCUGGAAUUUCAUCUGUCUCAAUACUGUUGUUUUAUACUGAUUUGGAGUGGCUGACUUCAUUCCUUGCUAUGAGGUACUCUCAUGCAUUAAGACACUUACCUGUUUCUGCAGGAUGGAUUCAAUUCAUGAACUCCCAGACCAGAUGAUGUCAAACAAGUAGACUUCGAUUUGUGUCAUGAGAAAGAUCUCAGUCCCUUAUUUCACAGUCUACUUAAGGGCCAGCUGUCCUCAAAUAUACUCUAAUGAAUGCACUGGUUAAAUGUUGGGAAUGGUUUCUUUGUAUCUUUGUCUCUUAUUCUCUAGACUAACCCUGAUUACAUGACUCUGUCUACAAAUCAUCAAACAAGGCCUGCACAUCCUCAAGUAAUAAAAAUUUAAUGACUAGCUUGCUUGUAUAUACAACUAUUGUUAAUAGGAAGUUAUCUACAAACUCCAUUUUUCUACCUUCAAAAUGUCAGCUCGAUUUUUUCUUCUGUACUUACAGAAAAAGACACUGAUCUACACUGCCAGUCAUUCCCUUUAAUCCUGUCAAACGCAGUCAAAAUGAGGGUCUUAAGGUGAGGAUGAUCAUCUGUUCAAGAGUCUAGUAUAUGCUGUGUAUAAGAAUUGAUGGUUGAAAAUGAAGAAAGCCUAAAACUGAAACCUAGGAUCUUAACUACUAUCUCCCUGCCUCAGAUCUCAAUCUGAGUCUUUGAGCAGCACCAUCCAACCAAUCUAAGGCCUUGUGUAUAAGCUGAUUCUCAGAGAUGGGUCGAGUUUCUGAAGAUGGAGACUUGAUUACCAAAGAGAGUAGGGCCAAUCUUCAUCAACCUGGCUCUCCCAGCCUUGUCAUUCCCAGAUGUAGCAUAGACUCCUCAACAGAACCUCAAGUCUGAAUUGAGAAUAUAGCCUUCUACUGAGCUGAAAGUUCUUGAGCAGAUAAACAAAAAUCAGAGCUGCUAUACCUGACUGGCCCUUUAAGAAAAUGGUAUCAAGAGUAAACCCUAAAGAAUGACCCCGGAGUACUGAGGGUAAAAACUAAUUUACAGAGCUUUGAUUAUCGGUCUGCCCAUUCUUCCAGAUCACAUCCUGGCUGUUGGUGUGGCUAGCCCUGCUGAAGGUACCCUGUUUGCCUGUUUAGACUCAGCCUUUGUAUGCCUUUUUUGACAUGUUGCAGUCAAGACUGGUCGUGCUUGAGAACUACAAUUGGUAUCAGCCUGUCUCACACUCAGUUCCACAAAGGAGUUUUGAAUAGAAGCAACCUACAUCUCACCUCCCCACACCUCCUGCCAGGACUUAAUGUUCACGACUAGAAGGACCAUGCUAUAUACCACUUGACCAGCAGCAUUUCUUUUUUUUUUUUUCAAGUGCAGAGUAAGCCUCUACGCCUAUAUGUAUUUCAUCAUGUUCAGCACUUGAGACCCGUUCUACCAGAUCAGAAGGACUACAGCAGAUUGAAAGCACUGUCCAUUCCUCUCUUCUGCAGUAAUACAGAGGUGACAGAAAUGUACCAGUUCACCUUGGCAAAAGACUAAAGUAACACAAGAAAAGUUUUCCACUGAACUUAAAACUUACCACUGACUUCAAUAGCCUCACAGAACUAUUUGCUAGUUGUUGUCCUGCAUCAUGUCAGCAAGAUGUUUGGGCUCUCAGAUUCAAGUCCACUGAGUACUUCUGUUGAAACACUAUUGCAUCAUCCAAAGUACGCUAUUGGACACGAUUAUUCCAUUCAUAUGGAUUACAAGCUUCCUGAGUACAGGACAAACUUACUCCUCAUGAUGUUUUUUCAGAAUACUUUUAUUAUCAAGAAAGUAACAAUGCCAGCUGUUACUGAACAGAGACUAAAAACUUUUUCAGUAUCUGGUCUUACUGACAUCAGUUGUUUCUGAUUGACCAGCAUCGAUUCCAUCUGUUUUUGUAUCAACUCUGUGAUGUUUCUUGGAACCACUUUUCCCUCUCUUCAGUCCACAUGGUUCAGACAGUCUGACCUAACUUAAAACUUCAUGGGUGGACAUGUUAAUUCAGACCUGAUCAGUCAGCAUAGUCCAUCUCUUUCACCAUAAUGAUUGGUUCUGGAAUGGUUGUGUGGUCCAAGUUGGUCCAGUGAUACUCAGCCCUAGGAGUUUUACUGAACUGUAGAGGGGAAGCUCAGAAGCUCUCUUUACUGAGGUUGCUCGGCUUUGUAGUAUGAAAAGUUCAAACCACCAGGGCCCACCAUAUCAAAUGAGCCAGAGAAUGAAGCCAGUGCAGAGCCAAAUGAUGGAGAGACUUGAGUCCUGAUGACAACGUUAGUGCCCCUGGAUCCAACCGUGCCUGAAGCUAGUAUAUCCCUAUGGACUUUUCAGUUAUGUGAGCCAAUAAAUACCGUUUUUUGCUUUAA